AUUUUGAUUCACAUUUGUGUUUGUUUUAGGGCAUACAAGAUGACGAUGGUGCAAUGCAAGUGUUUGGUGCUUUUGGUUGAUAGAAGCUGCUGGAUGCUUUUGGUAUUUUUGAAAGAUGCAAGUCGUGCUUCUGGUUGAUACUUAGAAGUUGGUGGUUCAAAACUGAAAAACCUGUCAGGCUGUCACUUGCUUUUGGUAUUGUUAUGCUUAUAUAUGAUGUUAUGCACUUAUGCAGUUCAGCAUGUUUGCUGCCUGCCUGCUUGCUGCUCAGCUGCAGCCUGGAGGCUGGUGCUUAUCUGAGAGUACUAAGUUAUCUGAUGUGAUCUGUAAAACUUACUCAGUUCUUGUCAAACUUAAUCUGUUAACAGGUUUCUUGUCAAACUGCUGGGCGCCUGAACACUGCUGUGCACCGUACGUCAGGCUGUCCUCAUGCAUCUGUUAACAGAUCUUUUGUCCUCUGCUGCUUAGACUGCUUUAUGAAAUUUGAAAUGUGAUGAGACUUAUGCCUUAUGGUGACUGGUGAUAGCUUAUUAGAUUAGAGUAUCAUACUUUUGGUCAUGGUCUUAUGGAAUAUGGAAUGUGAUGGGAUCAUUGGACCGCAUGGUAUGGGUCAUGGAUGUGUAAAUAAAUUAUAAUUUCAUUAUUUCAUCUCUCGUCUAUUAAGUAUUAACAGUUUAUUA
rnacentral:lncRNA from 1 species